AUUGGUUGCUAUGGGCAACUGGUCAACUUUUCCUCUCCACAGGUUUUGAUCCCUGAUUGUCUUCAUAUAUAGGAUGAGAAUCUUCUGACACAGUACCUUUUAAUGGCAUUCCUGUCCCAGUAACAUAGGGGCCAAGUAAGAUCUUCAUGUCUAGUGAUGCUGCACCCACACUCACUGAAUUCUAAGCAUAUUCAUUCUACUUGUAACUUUAUCAGAUGUUGGAUUCUGCAGCUGGCGGAACCUUAAACCACAUUUGGAUGUUCCCAGGGAAGAGAGAAGAAAAUGUGUUUCAAGCCUAGGCCAGUAAAAGUGGGAACUCCUGGUUCAAAACCGGUGCCAGCUCCACCAGGGACAUUUUACUGCUAUCCUAAGUGUUUUCCAAUAUGUUCUUUUUUCUAUUAUAUAGUAUGUGGUCUACAUUGAUGUGAAAUCAGCUAAGGGCUGCAUGAGGGCUCAUAUUUUUAUGUUGUGAUCUGUAGUACAGUAAGAAGCAUGAAGGGAAUUGGGAGAUGUGAUCGCCUGCAAAAAUUAUUUUUACUGUCUCUAUAUCCUUGUGAAUUUUUAUAUCAUUUUUUUGUCUGACCUCAAGACAUUACGGUAUACCUCUCACCCCAUUCAACUAUGAUUUUUCUGGCAUUUUUGUAAUUUACCUUAUCACAAUAUUAUACCUUAAUUUAUGUUUAUGUAUAAUAAACAAUACA